UAAACUUCGUUGACGAGAACAAGUACGUUUUAGGGUCACUCCUCAGAGAGCCGGCGGCAGCUGAAAGUCCGGUGUGUGAGCCAUUUCGGAAUAUCCUCUCUGAGAAGCGGCGCCGAACCUGCGAGAGCAGCAGUAAGUGCUGACGGCCGUCCCCCGUUAUAGGGAACGCGAACGGAAUGUUCGCGACUAAGGUGCCGCAUGAAGCGCAGUUCAAGUGAGCUGUUGCCUUCAUCUUCUUGCUAGCUGUUUGGCAGAAGCGAAUGCGGAACAAGGGUGGUAACGCGACUAAGCCUCGUCCCUUCU
rnacentral:ncRNA from 1 species